UACGGAGGGGCUAGCGUUGUUCGGAAUACUGGGCGUAAAGCGCGCGUAGGCGGACCUGGCAAGUCGGGGGUGAAAGGCCCGAGGCUCAACCUCGGAACUGCCUUCGAUACUGCGGGUCUCGAGUCCGGGAGAGGUGAGUGGAAUUCCUAGUGUAGAGGUGAAAUUCGUAGAUAUUCGCAAGAACACCAGUGGCGAAGGCGGCUCACUGGCCCGAUACUG
rnacentral:rRNA from 1 species